rnacentral:lncRNA from 1 species
UUUAACAUCCAACAUUAUUACUAAUUUGCCUAAUAAUAAAACACUAUUAUAAUACAACAUUGGUCCCCAACCUCCAACUAAAUGCUUUUCAUUGAGAUAAUGAAAAAUAGAAUAAGAAUAUAAUAAAAAUAUAAUACCCAAGGGCUGCUUUCAAUUGCUAUUUAACUAUACUAAACAUCGGAUUCUAUCGUUUCUAAGGAUUCUACAAUGGUCUCCUAUAAGUUAGCAGUAUUAACAACCCCUGUAGAAGGUGGCCCUA